UACGGGGGGGGGCAAGCGUUGUUCGGAAUUACUGGGCGUAAAGGGUUCGUAGGUGGCCAACUCAGUCAGACGUGAAAUCCCUCAGCUCAACUGGGGAACUGCGUCUGAUACUAGAUGGCUCGAGUGCAGGAGAGGAACGCGGAAUUCCAGGUGUAGCGGUGAAAUGCGUAGAUAUCGGGAGGAACACCAGUGGCGAAGGCGACUUCCUGGCCUGUUCUUGACGCUGAGGCGCGAAAGCUAGGGGAGCAAACGGG
rnacentral:rRNA from 1 species